GGAGGGGAACAUCAGAAGGAGUCAGGAGACCUUUCACGUUCUCUACAUGCUUGACUCAGGGAUGAGCACAGGCCGAGUCAACGCAUACAGCAUAGUAUCCUCUGAGGAAGACGGGCUGAGGUUGACCACCAUGCCAGGAGUCAACGGCUUUGGGAACGGUAAGAUCCACACCAGGCGGAAAUGCCGAAACAGGUUCGUGAAGAAGAAUGGCCAAUGCAAUGUUGAGUUCACCAACAUGGAUGACAAGCCUCAAAGAUACAUCGCUGACAUGUUCACGACGUGCGUCGACAUCCGCUGGAGGUACAUGUUGUUGCUCUUCUCCCUUGCCUUUCUGGUCUCCUGGUUGUUAUUUGGGCUGAUUUUCUGGCUCAUUGCACUUGUCCAUGGAGACCUAGAAAACCCAGCCGGGGAUGACAACUUCAAGCCUUGUGUUCUUCAAGUGAACGGCUUUGUGGCUGCUUUUCUGUUCUCCAUUGAAACCCAAACGACGAUCGGCUAUGGAUUCCGCUGCGUGACAGAGGAGUGCCCGCUAGCCGUCUUCAUGGUGGUGGUGCAGUCCAUUGUGGGGUGUAUAAUCGACUCCUUCAUGAUUGGGGCAAUCAUGGCAAAGAUGGCCAGGCCCAAGAAAAGGGCCCAAACGUUACUUUUCAGCCAUAACGCUGUCGUGGCCAUGAGAGAUGGGAAGCUCUGCCUGAUGUGGAGAGUUGGGAACCUUCGAAAAAGCCACAUAGUGGAAGCCCACGUGAGAGCUCAAUUAAUUAAGCCUCGAAUCACCGAGGAGGGGGAGUAUAUCCCCCUCGAUCAAAUAGACAUUGACGUUGGGUUUGACAAAGGCUUGGACCGUAUUUUCUUGGUGUCGCCAAUCACUAUUCUUCAUGAAAUCAAUGAGGAAAGCCCGCUGUUUGGAAUUAGCCACCAGGACCUGGAAACAGAUGACUUUGAAAUUGUGGUGAUCCUUGAAGGGAUGGUAGAAGCCACAGCCAUGACGACACAAGCUCGGAGCUCCUACCUGGCUAGCGAGAUCCUGUGGGGCCACCGCUUUGAGCCCGUCCUGUUCGAGGAGAAAAACCAGUACAAAGUAGACUACUCGCACUUCCACAAAACCUACGAGGUGCCGUCAACCCCGCGUUGCAGUGCUAAGGACUUGGUGGAGAACAAAUUCCUGCUCCCUAGCACCAACUCCUUCUGCUACGAGAAUGAGCUUGCCUUCAUGAGCCGUGAUGAGGAGGAGGAGGAGGAAGAGGAUGAUGACAGCAGGGGUCUGGAUGACCUGAACCCGGACAACAGGCAUGAAUUUGACAGGCUUCAGGCCACGAUAGCACUGGAUCAGAGGUCAUAUAGAAGGGAGUCCGAAAUAUGACCCAGGGCCCCUUCGCUAACUGUUCUGAGGUUAUUUUUCCUCUCAUCUCUUCCCCUACCACCUGCUCAAAUUAUGCAGAACAAUGCAAGUGCCAUAGGAAUGCUUGAGAAAUUAGUAUUGUUUGUAGUUUUAAGUUUCAUUGCAAUAACCACUGAACGGUCUGUGAUAGGAAACCACAGCAGGCCACAGAGUGUUUUGAACUUCCAGUGUUGAUAAAGCUAUUAGAAAACGUACUGGAAGCAGAUUCAAUAUGGUGGCACAGCUAAGGGAGAACACCGGGGGUGGGCUAUGCAGGACUAUCGUCUUUGCACGCAGAGAGCUGGUGAGUUUGUUUUCUUUCACUCUGUGAAAAUGAAAGCAUUUUCAUGAAGCUGAGCUCUGCGAGGUUCGAAAGGAGGAAAUAUCAGGAAACAAAUCCUUUUUUUGGUUUCGUUUUUUUUUAACUGAACACAAAAAUUAUAUAUAUUUCUGGCAGGAGAUGUGAUUCAGUUGCACAAGACCGACACUUGAAAACACGUACCGUAAAGUACUCCUUUUUUAAUUCGGGGGAAAGGAAAUGAGGUUUUAAUUUGUCAACUUCGUGCUCGGGAGACUGUUUACCAAUAAUAAUAAUGUAAUAAUCACACAUUCAAAAUGCGAGUCAAUAUAUUUUUAAAACAAACAAGGCAAUGAUGAAGCCGCAUGAAUUGUUUUAGGGCAGACUCCCAGGGUGCUCAGCAGGCCGCCUCCUGGUUAUUGGCUGGCAAAGCUUUGUAACCAGGUCGCAGCACUGACUGGCUGAAGCCCAGUGGCAGUGAAAGCCAGGAGCACAAUUACUGGCGACGUAGCACAGGCAAUGCUAGACUAGACUCUGGGAUAAACAAACAAUAAGAAUAAUAAUUAACACGCCGAUGGAAAUAUUUAUCUGGGGGCUGGGGCGGGAUUGGGCGUGGCCGCUGGGUUAACAUUUUGGAGCACUGAUAUUUUGUUUUUUGCACCUUUGGCUAAAAUGAGCUGGAUUCUUGUUUGGGGUUAAUCAGCUUUGCUCCGUUGAGUAGCUAAGGCGCAAGCGUUCUGUUCUGAGUCACUUGCAGGCAGUGGGGUUGUGACUCAGGAUGAAAUGUGGCCGCAUGGGCCAGCCUUUAAAUGGUGUAAAUCUCAUUGACUUCACAUUUACACUCGCUUUGGAUCUGACUCCGUAUCUCCAGUGGGACCAUUCAGAAUGUUUAUUUUUUUAAAGAAUUGAAUGGAAGUUCUUGAAGUCAGGUAUUUCCCCUUUUUUCAGUGAACCUGAUUCCCCCCCCCCCUCCCCCCGCAAACAAUUCAGUUGUUUUAAACAUGAAAACCUAUGUGCAAUAUAUAUAUUUUUUGGUACUUUUGCACACAGCAAAAUUCACAAGGAGUUGGUUGCCCUCCCUCGUAUUAGCAUCUAUUCUAUUCUUGAGCAUGUUUGUAACUGAUGAAUUGCCCCGGCAUUGGACAGUGCUACGUGCAAAGGCCAAAAAAGGGAACCAAUGAUUUCUCUGCUUCAAACCUUAUCUACUCUCAAACCAGGGGUCCCAUGCCUUAGAGAUGCAAAAUUGUUCAGCUGUACACAGCUUUUCCCCAGCACCAGAAUCCCUGCUUUGAAUUGUUUCCUAGUCAAGCGCUCUUCCUCCAGCCUUACGGCAUGUCAUGUGUCGCUCCAUAUGGGUUCAGCCAUGCAGCAAGAGCACAGAACAAAUCAUAUGCAAUAAACAGGGCCCACACUGCACACAUUACAGGCUAUUAUUGAUUACCGGCUGUUUGUUAUUCCAAAAGGCACAAAAGAUCAUGCCUGUACUUGCGUGGGAGCUUUUGCUCCCAGAGGGAAAGGACCUCAGGGGCUCUCCGGCACUGUGCAGAGAAAGGAUCCAUCUCAAAUUAGAAUGAAAUCAUUACCGGGCCUAUCAUUACCUGUGUCCCAAAGGCCUAAGGUUCAUGUGGCCAGCUGUCACUUUCCUACAUACUGAACUUCCCAGUGACAGCUAGUGGAGAGCUCAGAAACUCCUGCUCUAAAAAUCCAGACUCCUGCCACUUCAAGUAAAGGAGAAACUCUAGUAGCUAUUGGCAGUAUAGUGCCUAUGACACACAAUUGUGCAGCUUUUAUUUUAGCCAACAGAGAGCAGUGGUGGGUGCACAGAACCACUAGCCAAUUCAUUUGCUAUAGCAUCCAGAUCAGCGAAAGAGGCAAUGAAAGGGAGGUGAAGGACCUGAGAUAUGGUCAUCAGCCAAAUCAUUCAUGACCCACACUCAGCUCUUGUUAUCUUUCCAGGGCACUGCAAACCGUAAUGAACGUAGCCUCCUCCAGUGCAUGCGAGGAGUUAAGUAUUGUCAUCCCCUGCGGCACAGAGAGGUUAAAGGACUUGCUCAAGGCCACCGCGGGAGUUGGUGUCAGAGACAGGAUUAGUCCUGUGCUCAGACCACCUGUGACUCGAGAGAGAGCUCCCACCUUUUCCUCAGCAGACCUGCUUCUCAAGCCAGAGUGCUGCACGGGCCCUCCUGUACCGCUGCCUUCUAAGCACUGGCUGGAACGUGCAACUUGGAUGGUAACAAUUCGCUCUAAGGAACAGGAGGGGUCACCAAUACAGAGGUUACCUCUCCGGGGAAUUUUCCUCCAAGUCGGCCUGGUACCAUUUCCAGCGUCCGUGAGCCUUUCCAGCAGUGAUUGAAAGCUCCAUGCUACUCACUCAAGGGGCUGCUUUAUUUUUGGCUUCCUCUAAAUGAUGUGCAGUCCUGCUCUGUGGGGGAAGGGGGGAGAAAGCAUCUGCUUCUCCUUGACAAAUGUCAGCACUGCUGUGACUAUUUUCGGCUGGCCUAGCGCAUGGGCCUCCUGAAUUCUAAUCCCAGCUCUGCAAAGGACUUGACACGUGGCCUUGGGAAAGUCUCUUAAUAUGUCUCCCUCAUUCCACCUGUAAAAUCAGAGCGCUGCAGAGGGGAGAUUGGAAAGAUUAACUGGUUCAUGUGACGGUCUCCCAUGCUGCAGUGGUAGGGUUGCCAGUUUUGGUUGCACGUCUGCCUGGAGGUUUCAUCACAUGACACCAUCUUUAAUUAAAGAUGAGUCUUUAAUUCCUGGAGACUUCAGGACAGGAAUGGAGAGUUGGCAACUGUUGCGAUGUCACUGAUGUCAUGGGAACUCUGAAUCAGUAUAUGCCAGUGCAGGAUGAGCGAUGUUUGUCCAGUGCUCUGAAAAUGUUUCAGAGCUGAGAAUUUGUCCCCGGUGUAACUGGAGCAUAUGGACACACCAUCAGAGAUGGGCAUGGCUGCCUAGAGAUAUAGUCACACCUGCCCUGCGAAGCCCCAGGGCAGAGGCAUAACUUUUUUGUGUUUCUAAGGCAGAAAAUGUAGAUGUGAUCCCACCCCCUUCCCUGCCCGGUUCCAGCUGAACCACACAACUUCCUUUCUCUGAUUCGAGGGACAGUUUUGGUGCCUGCUUCUUGAGCAACAGUGGGGAUGGGGGAGGGGAGGGCAAGGUUCUUUCUUGCGGGUAUUAUUUAUUUAUUUUUCUUUUUUUCUAAAAUGCUUUUUUUUUGGGUGGCUUUAGGUUCUUUUGAGAAAGAUGCACAACUUUGCUGCUGUCGGGUUCCUUUCGUAAUAUAUAUCACGAUGUUCGUGGAUAUGCCUGGGAGGCUAGAUGACUUAUAUCAGAGAACAUGGGUGAAAGGAAGAGAUUGAGCCUUUGAAGAAGGAUGGGGUUCUUGUUCUGUAGGAGACAACCUGUGCCCCCUAUUGUCACUCACGAGUGAGUGGACAAAAAGAACUUCUAUCACCACAUCCAACUUGCCAAGCACCGUGGCCCCAGCAAAUAAAUUAAAUGCCUAUUAGCUGUUA